GCGUCGGUGGUUCAGUGGUAGAAUGCUCGCUUGCCACGCAGGCGGCCCGGGUUCGAUCCCGGCCGAUGCA
rnacentral:tRNA from 1 species